UACGGAGGGAGCUAGCGUUGUUCGGAAUUACUGGGCGUAAAGCGCACGUAGGCGGCCUGUCGCGUCGGUUGUGAAAGCUCGGGGCUCAACCCCGGGUCUGCAGUCGAUACGGGCAGGCUAGAGUUCGGUAGGGGAGAUCGGAAUUCCUGGUGUAGCGGUGAAAUGCGCAGAUAUCAGGAGGAACACCGGUGGCGAAGGCGGUUACCUGGAGCUUUGCUGACGCUGAUGCGCGAAAGCGUGGGGAGCGAUCCGG
rnacentral:rRNA from 1 species